rnacentral:snRNA from 1 species
AGAUGUGAGGGUGAUCUGGCUGUGAGACCUGUUACCCCAUGGAUCACCAGGGUUGACUCGGCUGAUCCGGCUGGCUGGGUGGGAGUCCCCUUCCUCCCUCUCUCUCCACCUGCAUCCCUCCCAAAGCUGUGCACUCGCUCGAAGAGGAGGAGGACCCGUCUUUGGUCCAGGGUAUAUGUGUAGCCGUGCUCCCCUGCUAGACCUCCAAACACGCUCUCAAGAAUAAGCUGUAUUCUAUCGCAAGGCUUAUCUUUUUUUUCUAGCAGCUGAACAAGCACUGGCCUCAAGAUAAGCAAGAUGGGGGCCGGGCGCG